AGGUGCGCGUGUGAAGAAAAAAAACGUUCCGCGAGUGUAGUGAGAAUAAAAGCAAUAGAAAGUUGCUGCAGGCAUUCACAGGACGCUUGGCUGGACGCCAUCUUCGACGCUCCCGGACGAGGGAAAAUCACCCCAGGAUUCAUCGCAGAUUGGACCGUCGGUACGCAACUGCCGGCAAAGGAAUUGCUUUUUGCCAGUGGAUUCGCUGGAGCGGCAGGAUUUUCGUGGCUGAUUGGCUGACGAGGAAAACGUGGUACUGCUGAUUGCUGGUGCUGAAAGUAAGCUGGGUCGCUAUUGUUGGCGCCUUUGAAAAGUUUUAUUGAAUUUUCUUUGUGAUAAUUUUUGUGCAAAUUCAAAAUGGUGCAGAUGAAUAUGGCAGCCAUGAUUGAACCAUAUCGCAGGGGUUCUUCUUUCGCUAACUGGGUUGAACGAUUGGGAUACUUUUUUGACAUGAACAAUGUGAAAGAGCAAGCAAAAAAAGCUCAUUUUAUUACCUUGAGUGGGCCAAUUGUAUUUUCCGAAUUGAAGCUGCUGUUUCCCACGACUAAUUAGUCGGAUGUAUCCUAUGAGACAAUGAUUGAUAAGCUUAAAUCUCGCUUUAAUAAGACGGAAUCUGAACUGAUUCAAAGGUACAAGUUU